GCCCGGGUGGCUCAGUCGGUUAAGCGUCUGACUUCUGUUCCGGUCAUGAUCUCACAGUUCGUGGGUUCGAGUCCCACGUCGGGCU
rnacentral:tRNA from 1 species